GCCGACUUAGCUCAGUUGGUAGAGCAUCUGAUUUGUAAUCAGAGGGUCGGGCGUUCGAAUCGUCUAGUCGGCAC
rnacentral:tRNA from 1 species